UACGUAGGGUGCGAGCGUUGUCCGGAAUUAUUGGGCGUAAAGAGCUUGUAGGCGGUUUGUCGCGUCUGCUGUGAAAAUCCGGGGCUCAACCCCGGACUUGCAGUGGGUACGGGCAGACUAGAGUGUGGUAGGGGAGACGUGGAAUUCCUGGUGUAGCGGUGGAAUGCGCAGAGUAUCAGGAGGAACACCGUGGUCGAAGGCGG
rnacentral:rRNA from 1 species